UAGAUGAAGACACAGAUAUUUCUUCUGUUGAAGAUAUUUCUACUUCUUCUCUCCUUCUCACUCCAGCCCUUGUCAAUGCCUCUUCAGAUCAAUGUUUCCCGGUCAGGGCAGGAAAGAGCAACAGAAGAGGGAAAGGCGCUAAACCACAAGGGAGGAGGGAAAGAGGAUUGAGAGAGAACACAGAAUAUCCAUCUCCCGGGUGCAGUUCUGAUCAAUCCCUGCAUUUAUCACAUGAUACCAGACACAUGGGUUAUUGCAUUAUGGGGCUUAUCGAGCUCAGAUCUCUGAGACCCCAUUUACUCUUCCAGAAGUAUGUGCUCUGAUUAAUAAUAGAUGGUUAGCCACAUAGUUAAGUAGAAUGACUGGCACCUUUUAUUGGUUGUCUUUAAAACUAAUUUAAUGAAGCAGGCUGACCAGAAAGCAGAGGUUUGCUGCUGAGCUGACUAACAAAUGCCCUGCCUGUUUAUAAACUAAGAGAGCCCUCUUUUCAAAAAUCAAGCUACUGGUUCCCUCUGAACCUUUGCUUCAUUGCAUGGGGUG
rnacentral:lncRNA from 12 species